UGACGACGACGACGACGACAAUGGCGUCGGCCGGAUGCCCGCACCCCCGUUCGACGAUCCUGUACCCAGACCUGCCAUGCGAUCCCGACGUGUGUGCCAAGAGUUGCGCCAAGGGAUUGAACAACGGCAACGGCACCUGCAUGAGGCCGAUUGGAUGUGAUUGCGUGUUCUGCGUGCCAGAAACCGUCGCAAAACGCCCGGCUGUCUCUACGCGUAUGCUGUGCACUACUACCAUUUCGAUUUAAUUUCACGCAUUGAAGUAAUGAUCCAUCCACACUCUUGCUACUUUGUUUGUGUCGGAAAAUCCUACAGGUUUGACGACGACGACGACGACAAUGGCGUCGGCCGGAUGCCCGCACCCCCGUUCGACGAUCCUGUACCCAGACCUGCCAUGCGAUCCCGACGUGUGUGCCAAGAGUUGCGCCAAGGGAUUGAACAACGGCAACGGCACCUGCGUGAGGCCGAUUGGAUGUGAUUGCGUGUUCUGCGUGCCAGAAACCGUCGCAAAACGCCCGGCUGUCUCUACGCGUAUGCUGUGCACUACUACCAUUUCGAUUUAAUUUCACGCAUUGAAGUAAUGAUUCAUCCACACUCUUGCUACUUUGUUUGUGUCGGAAAUCCCACAGGUUUGACGACGACGACGACGACAAUGGCGUCGGCCGGAUGCCCGCACCCCCGUUCGACGAUCCUGUACCCAGAC
rnacentral:lncRNA from 1 species